rnacentral:misc_RNA from 1 species
AUUCAAUUGAAUUCUUUUCUUGCAUAUGGUUGUUCUGUUGUAAUGCAAUAAUAUUGUCUGUUAAAGACACUUUUUUAAAUGAGUUUAAUGUGAUGCACCUUAUAUUAGACAAUACUGUCUCUGGCUGACAUCUUCAGUGUACCUUCUGCAUCUGUAUUCAAUAAAUGUUUAAACAUUAAGAUUUAUGGACCAUCACUGGAUUUUCCACAUUUGCAAUGUAUUAUAUUAUGCCAUAAUAAUUUUAGUUUUGUUCACUUCAGGAGAGUCAGAAAGGAAUUGU